rnacentral:lncRNA from 1 species
CUCACUCGGCCCCUUGGGCACCUGAAUCUGCACACAAGGUGCAGGGAGUAACGUGAGUAUGCCAACUCAGUAAGUAACUAAAGUAAAUAAAGACUGAAAGUAGUGAAGAGCAGUUAAAAAAACAUAUAACCGAAAUAACAACAGAAUAAUAGCUCAACUUUACAGUUUAAAAACCAGUUUCGUCAUGAAAUCAACACUUUUAGUUAAAAUCUUGGAAUCAUAUACUUAAUAGUAUUUCCAACAUAUGCUUAAAUCAAAAGAAGAGUGAAAUCAGUAAAAUAUCAUAAUUGGGCCCCACGGGCAAGGAAUCACUCAGGAUAUGGCCUCUCGGGCAACCCCUCAGUCACUCAGUACUCACUUUCAGCACUCAGACUCAUUAAUAUAGCAAAAUAGAAGAAAUCAUGGUAACCAUUGUGGCGUGCAGCCCGAUCCAUUAUUUAUAGUCGACUACGCUCACUAGGGGUGUGCAGACUUCAAAGGUGCUCCUACAGCCCAAGCGUCAUAUCGCUGCGGCCUGUAGCCCAAUCCAAUAUAUAUAUAUCGCUGUGGCGUGCAGCCCAAUCCAAUAUAUAUUUAUCACUGCGGCAUGCAGCCCGAUUCAUAUAAGUAUCACUGCGGCGUGUAGACCGAUCCAUAACUCACUUAUAUAUAUAAUUAUCCUCACAAUUAGGUUCUCAACCUCUAUCUUAGUCAUUACCUCACAGCUUCUCGGGCACAAUAAUAGAAGCUAAGGAACUCAGCCCAACAUUUCUCACAAUUAGAAGUAGAGUUAUACAACCAGUUUUAAACAUUUAAGCAGGUAAAACAUGACUGAGUAUGUGCUUCUGGCAAGUGAAGUGAGGGAAGUAGUCAAAAUGCCCCCUAAGGGUGUCUACAGGGCACAAGGCCCCAAACAUGGCAUACAAGCCAUAAUACAGUAUAAAUGACUGAAACAUAGAAUAAUAUAAAUUUCUAAAUCAAUUACGCGGCUUAAUAGUCGCUAGAGACGGACCAAGUCACAAUCCCUACCGGUGCACGCCUACACGCUCGUCACCUAGCAUAUGCAUCACCGCAUUUACCAAAUAUAGUCAAAUACCAAGGUUUUGUACCAUCAGUUCCAGAUUUACAAUGGUUACUUACCUCAAACCGGUGAAAAUACUACUCCGCGAUGCCUUUGCCCCUCGAAUCGUCUUCCACUCGCGUUGAAUCUAUCAAAGUCAGAACGAAUACGUCAUAAUAUGCAAAGGGAACAAAGCCCAAGCAAAAACAAUCGAAACACCAAAAAUCCUGAAAUUAUCAAAACCAGAGCCCCUGGCCCACUUCUCGAAGCUCUGAAAUUUUUACAUCAAUGGAUUUCUCGUCUCCCUACGAGUUCAUACAUAUCAAGAACACAAGAAUGGGGGUCCAAAUCGCCCCUCAAAUCCCCAAUCAAAGUCCUCUUAAACUCAAGCCCUAAACCUCCAUUUUUAGCCCUUUAUUUCCUUUAAUUUCAGUCUUAAUCCAUGAAAUAUUACCAUAGAAGUGUGUUUCAGGUCAAAAAUCCUUACUUUAUCGAAGUUCCCUUGAAAUCUUCCUUCAAAAUCGCCCAAAAGCUCUAAAUCCGAGGUUGAAAAUGGUGAAAACCUUCAAAAAUUGCGAAGGCAAGAUUAUAUAGAUUCUGCCUAGACAUAGCCACAUCUACGGUCCAAAAAUCUGCUUCUGCGGUACCACAUUUGCGGUCUAACCAACCGCUUCUGCAGAAUUCACUUAAGGGCCCAAAACCGCAUCUUCGGUGCACUCGCCGCAUCUGUGGCUCCGCAGGUACGAGCCCUCUACCGCAUCUGCGAUUCCAGACAUUUCUUCCCAAAACCUCUUCUAUGGUUCUUCUUCUGCAUAUGCAACACUACACCUGCGGUCCCCAAACCGCAGGUGCGAAAACACCAGAAGCAGCAAAAUUGAAGCUACAAUUACACUUCAACUUCUCCGAAAACCAUCCGAAAUCACCCCAAGGCCCCCGGGACCUCAACCAAAAGCACAAACGUAACUCAAUACCUUAUUCAAACUUGGUCCAAUCAUCAAAACACCUCAAACAACAUCAAAUCUACCAAAUCACCUCGAAUCCAAGCCUAAGUUUCUAAAAUCUUCUGAAAUACGCUUUUGAUCAAAAACCCAACAGAACCACGUCCGAAUGACCUAAAAUUUUACACACACAUCCCAAAUGCUACUACAACUCUCGGAAUUCUAUUUCGACCUCUAUAUCAAAAACUCGCCUAACAACCAAAAAUCGCCAAAAUCACAACUUCGCCAAUUGAAGCCUAAUUCUUCUCUACACCUCCAAAACCCAUUCCGAUCACGCUCCUAAGUCAUAAAUCACCUCCCGAAACUAACGAACCAUCAGAAUUCACAUCCUAGCCCUAGAACACAUAAGUCAACAUCCAGUUGACUUUUCCAACUUAAACCUUCUUAAAAGAGACUAAGUGUCUCAUUUCUUACCAAUUCCUCUCCGAACCCAAACUAAUCAACCCGAUCACAUACAACACGGAUAAGGAAGUAUAAAGAAGCAAAAAAUAGGGAAGACGGAGUGGUAACUCAUGAGACGACUGGUCGGGUUGUCACAAAUUGAUUCCACUUGGACACACGUUCUGUGAGAAAUGUAGGCACAAUGUCAGUGUAGAUGCUUGUGAAUUAUGUGUCUGAUUACUGAGGAAUAUCCAACUUGUUUUCCUUUUUUAUGUUUGGAAACAAGUUGUUAACCCGAAAAACUCUGCCAAACCAGAAAAAUUAGGUAAGGAAUUCUGUUAACCCGAGAGAAGGUGUUAGGCAUUCCCGGGUUCUGUAAUUUUAGCACGGUCAGUUAGAAAUUUAUACUUAGCUUAUUUUAUCUAAUUACUCAUUUUUGGACCUAUGUUUAUUUUACCUUUUACUGCUACUAAUCAUUUGAUAACCCGUAUUUAAAGAAUUAACUUAAGACGAGUUACGUGUACGUAUACUCGUUUUAGUUUGGUGCAUUAAGAAUCACGUCACGUGUCGUGUACGCAAUUCACAACACUUAGUUUAUUUAAGAAAAAGUUUGGUCAAAGUCUAGCAAACACUUACUUUAAAUUUAUUUGAAAAAAUCACAAUCACGCCACGCGAACAUGUACGCAAUCAUGAUGGUAGUUUAAAACCGCGCUUAAAAGCAUUUUUACGAGUAUUUGAUUAAGGCGUUUUAGUUACUAAUAAUGUUUGACCAUGGUCACAUAAACGUGUACCUUGGUUUGUUUUUGACAUCACAACUAUGUCAUGAGUGCGUAUACAUAAUUGUAGCAGUUAGUUCGAUUAUAAGUAUACCUAAAGUUAUGAUUAUGUCUCUAAGCUAAAUGCAGAUGUCAUGUAACUAGGUGUGAAGGUCCAAUACUAUGUGAGACAUUAUUUGAAUUAAUUGGACAUCUUACAUAUUAGCUGCCAAACAGGUCAAAUGAUUAAAAGACCUUGUGUAACGACCCGACCAGUCGUUUUGAAUAAGUACAACCUCGUUUCCCCCUAUACUGCUAAAUUCAUGCUUCACAGUUCUUAUGUAACUUGCCGAAUUUGGUUCAGGUUCGGAAAGGUUUUGAAAGGAAUUGAGACACUUAGUCUCCAAGAAGAGAGCUUAAGUUGAAAUAAAUUGACCGGAAGGUGAAAUAUGAGUAAACGAAUUCGGAAUGGAUUUUGGAUGAUUCCAAUAGCUCCGUAUGGUAAUUUUGUAUUUAGGAGCGUGCCCGAAAAAAUUUUCGGAAGUUUGUAGUUUAAUUAGGCUUGAAAUGACGAAAAUGAGAAGUCGAAGUUUGGAAAUUUGACCGAGGGGUUGACUUUUUGAUAUCGAGAUCAAAAUCCAACUCAAGAAGUUGGAAUAGCGCCAUUAUGUAGUUUUCUAAGUUCUUAAGCUUGAAUCCGAAGUUGAUUUGGUGUUUUGAUGUUGUUUGGAGUGAUUCUGAAGCUCGACUAGGUGUUAAUGAUGUUAUGGGAGGUGUUGGUAUGUUUAGGUUGAGGUCUGAGGGCCUCGGGUGAGUUUUGAGUGAGUACGGACAUUCCGGAACUUAAAAAAUGGAUGGGGGCAGAAGUUGUAGUGCUGGGUGCGGAAAUGGUCUGCGGUCCGCGGUCAUGAAGAUCCGCAGGUCGUCGGUCCAACUUUGGAAGCUCAUAUCUUUUGAUCUAUAAGGAAUUUGGGGUUGAUUCAAACACAAAAGUUGUAGAUCUCUGAAUCUAGUUUUUAGUAACAUAUUAUAAUAGGCAUUUGGACAUCUGUAGCGAAUGUUAUGGCCAAAAUACUAAAGCCUAUCACUACAGAGGAAAACCUGUGUGGUCGCGGUCGUUUUUGUGCGGACCACACUGGUUUUGUGCGGACCGUGGUUGAUUUUGUACGGUCCGCAAAGGUGGAAUCCGUGGGGUACCCUAUAAAUAUGAGGUUUUGGGUUUUAUUUGAUAUUUUGACCUAGAGAGCUCGGAUUUUGGCGAUUUUCGAAGGUUUUUUCAAGAAAUUCAUCGGGGUAAGUGAUUCUAACUCGGAUUUGACUAGAAUACAUGAAUCUAUCAUUGAAUCUAUCAUUUGAUUUGUGAAUUGGGGUGAAAAUUUGGGGAAAAUUUAUAGAAACUUUUAAAAUGAAUUUUUUGGAUCCGAAGAACAAUCCGAUGUUGGAAUUUGAUAAAUUUGGUAUGGUUGAACUCAUAUUGGAAUGGGUGUCCGGAUUUCAUGAAAAUCAAGUUGGGUUUCGAGAGGCGAGUCCCACAUUGACUUUUGGUUGAUUUUUUAAUGUGAAUUUUUAAGUCAAUGUUUUAUUAUCCGAAAUUGUUCCCGAUGUAUUUUAAUGAAGUUAUACAAUUAAUUUGGAUAGAUUCGAGUCUCUCGGAGGUCAAUUCAAGCAAGAAGGCUAUUUUGGAAUAUCGGCCUAACUUCAAAAAGGUAAGUGUUUGGUCUAACCUUAGCUUGAGGGAUUAGGAGUUGUGUCCUUUUUUCUAUGUGUUAUUUGUUGAGUACGACGUAUAGACAUGGUGACGAGUAUCUAUACAUUGGUGUCAAGCAUGCCUGUGAGUCUUGUGUUAUAAAUUGUUACGACUCUGUUGUGGUUUAUUGUGCCUCACAUAUUAUUAUCAUCAUAUUUCCCUUGUUGGGAUAUUUGUUUGAUAUUAUUGUUCCCUUGCCGGGAUAUUGUGGAGAUAUCAUUGUUCCCUUGUCGGGAUGUUUGUUGAUAUUAUUGUUCCCUUGCCGGGAUAUAUUUGAGAUAUCAUUGUUCCCUUGUCGGGAUAUUUGUUUUGAUAUUAAUGUUCCCUUGCCGGGAUGUUUGUUUAUUGUUCUUGUUCCCUUGCCGAGAUUCUUUAUGAUUAUUGUUGGUUUGUAAAUGGAAACGGGUGGUACGCCUACCACAAGAUAUAAUAAAAUGGGAGCAGGUGGUACGCCUACCACAAGAUAUAAUCAAAUGGGAGCGGGUGGUACGCCUACUACAAGAUAUAAUAAAAUGGGAGCGUGUGACGACCCGGUCCGUCGUCUCAUGAGAUACCGCCCUGUUUUCCCCAUUUUAUGUUUCUAUAUGCUUCGUUAUCCGUGUCAUAUGUGAUCGAGUUGGUUUGGAGUGGUUUCGGUAGAAAAUGAGAUACUUAGUCUCUUUAAGGAAGACUUAGUUUGAAAAAGUCAGCUGGAUAUUGACUUAUGAGUUAGAGGGCUCGGAUAUGAAUUCCGAUGGUUCGGUUAGCUCAAGGAGGUGAUUUGUGACUUAGGAGUGUGAUCGGAAGUGGUUUUGGAGGUCCGGUGUAGAAUUAGGCUUGAAUUGGCAAAGUUAGUAUUUUGGCAAUUUCCGGUUGAUAGGUGAGAUUUUGAUUCGAGAGUUAGAAUGGAAUUACGAGAGUUCUUGUAGCUUCGUUAUGUGAUUUUGGAUGUGUGUGCAAAAUUUCUGGUCAUUCGGAGGUGAUUUGGUUGGGUUUUUGAUCGAAUGCGUGUUUCGGAAGUUUUAGAAGAACUUAGGCUUGAAUUCGAUGUAAUUUGAUGGUUUUGGUGUUAGUUCAGACGUUUUGAUGAUUGGAAAAAGUUUGGAUGAUGUUUUAGGAUGUGUUGGUGCUUUUGGUUGAGGUCCCGGGGGCCUCGGGGUGAUUUCGGAUGGCUAACGGGAAGUUUGGAGUUGAAAAAUGCAGCAGAAAAUGUAGCAGUCAGUGCAAAGCAAUUUUGGUCUUCACGAUCGCAAGCCUGGGGAUGCGAUCGCAUAGAAGGAAAAAUGGGAGGCCGGAUUUUGUUCAUCGCGAUCGCAGUUGGGUGUUCGCGAUCGCAUAGAGCUGGAAGGUGAAGCUUCGCAUUCGCAAUGGUCGAGUCGCGAUCGCGUAAGAGGAGGAGCUAAAGCUCCGCGAUCGCAUUAGUCUAGUCGCGAUCACAUAGACCAAAUUGGAGGCCUUGGAAAUUUGUGCUUCUUGAUCACAAGCCUGGGGCUGCGAUCGCAUAGAAAAAGCUACGGUGCCGGGGCAGAAUGUUUAAGGACAUUUCAUCCGCGAGCCAAGUCAUUUCUUUCACCAUUUUUGGGCAUUUUGAGAGCUACUUGGGAGCAAUUGGAGGGAUUCGAAGAGGAUUGAUUGGAGGUAAGUUUUAUGAGUUAAAAACAUGAUUAUAUUGUGAAAUUAUCCUUGAAAUUCUUGAGAAUUUAGCUAAAUUGGAAGAAACUAGGGCUUGGAAUUUUAAAGUUUUAAAUUAGAAUUUGAGGGGCCAUUUGUGGCCCGAUUUGAGAGUUUUUGAUAUGUAUAGACUCGUGGCGAUAAGGAACCCGUUGAUGUAAAAAUUUCUGAGUUUCGUGAAGUGGGACCGAGGCUCAGGUUUUACCAAUUUCGGAAAUUUUGAUAUUUUUCGAUUGUUUUCGAUUGGGUAUUGUUUCCUUAGCAUAAUGUGACAUAUUCGUUGUGAUUUUGGUCAGAUUCGACGCGCGAGGAGGCAAAUUUGAGAGGCAAGGGCAUAGCGAGCUAAAGCUUUGGCCAGUUUGAGGUGAUUAAUGAUUUUAAAUGAUGUCCUGAGAGUUUGAAACCCUGGAUUUGCACAACGUAGUGCUAUACUGAGUUGAGACACACGCGUUGUGAUGAGCGUGAGGUCCAAUGCUACUAGGGAUUGUGACUUGGUCCAUCCUGAAUGAUAUUUUACUACAUUUUUGACUGAGACUUAUAUAUUAUCAUUAUGAUUUGGGCUAGUUGCCAUGUUUGAGGCCUUGUGCCGACCUGUAGAACUCGUAGGGGAUUUUGACUGGUUUUCCUCACUUAUUUGCUAAAAAUCAUAUCCUCAGUCAUGUUUCUAAUUGUUUAAAAUUUAUAUGAACCGAGUUAUGAAAUGUUAAUCAUAAAUGAAAGAAAUAUGUGGGCUGAGAUCCCUACCUUAUAUUAUUGUGCCCAAGAGGCUGUGAUUAUAAUGGCUGAGAGGGGUUGAGGACCCAACAAUGAGGAUAUUAUAUAUGAUAUAGAUCGGGCUGCGCGCCGCAACAAAUGUAUAUUAUAUAUAUAUUGGAUCGGGCUGCACGCCGCAGCAAAUACAUAUAUUGGAUCGGGCUGCACGUCGCAACAAAUACUUAUAUGGAUCGGGCUGCGCGCCGCAACAAAUGUAUAUAUAUAUAUAUAUUUGGAUCGGGCUGCACGCCGCAGCAAUAUAGCACUUGGGCUGUAGGAGCCCCUCCGGAGUCUGCACACCCCCAGUGAGCGCAAUUGACUAUUAUUAUUAUUAUGGAUAGGGCUGUGCGCCACAACGAUAUACGGAUCGGGCUGCAUGCCGCAGCAGUAUAAAUAUUGAUUUCAGUUAUUGUGAGAAGUAUAUAAAUUGAGUAUUGAGGAUAAGUAAUAAAUAAAUGACAGAAAUUCUCGAGGAGCAAAUUUAUACUGAUUAAUAACCGAUGAGCUACCUGUUUUACCUGGUUUAAGGGAUUUCACUUGAUUUCUUCAUUAAUUGCUGUUUAAUUGGUUUUACUGCUUUGAUAUAGAACUGCUUAGUGCCUUUACGUGAUUUCAUACCAUCAACCAUUAUUUAUUGUUAUUACUCACUCGGCCGGAGUACUCACAUUAUUCCCUGCACCGUGUGUGCAGGUACAGGUGUUCCUGAGGUAUAGAGCGAGCUUUCCUGCCGUUCAGUUUUCAUCGGAGUUAUCGAGGAAGCUGUAUGGCGUCCGCAGACCCGAUUUCUCCCUCUAUCCUUCCUUACUAUUCCGUAUUUUAGACAUAUUUUUGUAUUAGACUGUUGAAAUCUUGUAUUAGAGGCUCAGACUUGUGACACCAGAUCAUUGGGCAUUUGUAGAGAUAUUAUUAUGGUUUCCACAUAUUUCAUUUUUUAUUUCAGACUUCUAAUUAUAUCAAAUUGGUAUUUAAAGUUGUAAAUAGGUAAUAAAUUCUAGUAUGAAGGGGUUGUGAGUGGUAAUUGGUAUUCUAAUAUGAAGGGGUUGUGAGUGGUAAUUGGUCGGGCUUGCCUAGCAUUGUGUUAGGCGCCAUCACGACUGGGAUUGGGGUCAUGACAGAGCGGGUGGUAUGCCUACCACAAGAUAUAAUGAAAUGGGAGCGGGUGGUACGCCUACCACAAGAUAUAAUAAAAUGGGAUCGAGUUGCACGCCUGCAACAAGAUGUGAUCUAAAAGUGAAAUCUGCCUUUGUUUUCCUUAUUCUUGUUAGUGGUUGGAUUUUGAAUUCUUUACUGUUGUGAUCCUUCGUGUUAGAACCUACAGUGUUUGCAAUAUCUCACCGCAUUUAUACAUAUAUAUACAUUCCAAUACUUCAAACUUCAAUAAUUGUAUAUCCUUAAUUCAAUUAUUUUCUUAAUUAUAUCCCCUUAAACCGUUUGAGGUUGUACUUUACUUAAAAGGGAUUUCUACUAUGAUUGAUUUAUUGAUUUCUCUUAUUAAAGGUAAUAAUUCAUUCGAUAUUGUACUUUAAUUGAAAAGGGUAUUUUCUUUAUCAAAUGAUUUCUAAAAAUAACUUCAUCUCUUCUUGUUAAUUUCCUAGUUGGGUUGGGAGUUGUACUCUACUUUAUGUUAAAUGAAUGAGGCUCCUUGAACAUUCUUAAUUGUAUUGAGUUAUGGAACCUUUGAACUGAGUAAUAUGAGGAUAUUAUUGUGCAAUAUGAGGCAGAAAUAUGUGGGCACGAGGUGCCGUGAAAAUAUGAAAGUGGGAUGAGACCUAAAUUAAUUAUGAUUAUGAAAUGAGGUGUCACAAGGUGACCUUUACAUGAAAGAAUUAUAUUCGAAAGAUGCUACUUGUAAGAUACUUAUUUGAAGGAAAUAUAUUUAUUGAAAAGCAUAUUAUCUUAGAGAUUAUUACUUGAAGGAUUUAUAGGCGAAAGAUUUAUAUUUGAACGACUCGAUUAAUGAAUUGCACUUAUACUUAUUAUUUGUUGAGAAACAUUUAUGGCGUUUUUUGUUGCCUGCUAUUUAUAUCAUUGAAUAAUUAUUGUUUCCAUCAUUGUUAUCUGCUUCCUAUUAUUUUGUACAGGUUCAUUUGGUAGUUUUGUCCUAGCCUCGUCACUACUUCGCCGAGGUUAGGCUAGGCACUUACCAGCACAUGGGGUCGGUUGUGCUGAUACUACACUUCUGUACAUUUUUGUGUACAGAUCUAGGUAUUUGAUCGAUAGUAGCUAUUCGUUGAGGUGGAGACUCAAGGUAAACUUGCUGCAGCGUUCGCAGUCCCCGGAGUCACCUUCAAUUGUACUUAUUUCCAUAUGUUCCCUCGUUUCGGAACAGUGAUGUAUUUAUUUUAUAUAACCACUCCUAGAAAGGCUUAUGACAUGUACUACCGGUUUUGGAAAUUGUAAAUUGUUUAGAGCAAUUUCAUUUGAAGUUAAUAAAUAUCAAUGUUAUUUCAGUAAAUGUUAGGCUUACCUAGUUUAGAGACUAUGUGUUAUCACGACUCAUUUAGAGGGAUUUUUGGGUCGUGACACCUUGGUAUCAGAGCUCUAAGUUCAUCGGUGCUACAAGUCAUAAGCGAGUUUAGUAGAGUCUUGCGGAUCGGUACGGAUACGUCUGUACUUAUCUUCGAGAGGCUACCGAACUAGUAGGAAAAAUUCCCACUUCAUUCAUUCUUUAUCGUGCGACAUUUAUUUAGCUUGAAGCAUAUAUCUUAGGUUCUUUUGCAUCUACUCAUGUAUGGAAUUUGCGCAAUACACCAAUGGUUUGUGAUACCGUAAAAAAGGUUAUAAGAGAGCCAGGGUUGCUCAACCGAUGUUACCACAUGUCGUUCAGAAUCGAGGUUAUGGAAGUGCAGAGAGAUCUUUUAGUUGUGCGCAUGGGAGUGCAUCAGAUUUUGACAUCUUGUUGAUAAGUACAAUCUUAAGAAGGUUUAAUUGGUUACAUAAUCAUUACAAGUGGAUGUAGAUCUAAAGAUAGUUGGUGGUAUUAGAGACUAUGUGAUUCGUAUGAGAUUUCUAAUUAGCGAAGAAGAGUACAUACUAGCAGCCAAGACAUUGGAGGAAGUGAGUUUAAUUGUCAAGAGGAUGAAAAUCACCAAGUAAAUAGCUUGAGGUGUCUUAUGACUGGUAUCGUGUGAGCGGUGAAGGUUAGUAUUGUGGAUCGUCGGGAAUGUGUCUUAUGAUUUCGCACCAAGUGAGGGAAGUCCACUAUCAACGAUCAGAUUGCGGGGUCAUGUGUUAUACCAAUUUUGGACUGAGAUGUAUUUAUGUGGUAUUGAAAUGUUUUCCAAAAUUUGUAUAUGAUCAAGAGCUGAGAAUUGAAUGAGAUGAUGAUGAGACUUGAGAUAUUCCCGCAUCCUUAAUAAUUCUAUAUUUCAGUAUCAGCGGGGUCAUGGAAACAUAUUCAGUAUACUCGUAGUGCUUAAGUUAAUCACAACACUUGCGUGGGGCAGUCAUCUUUUAAUGUACCAGUGGCAUGGGAUUCCUACAAUGGUUAUCCUAGUUAUCCGGCACAGACUCAGUAAGAGAAGUUGGACCGCAGAUUGGUUGUUAUGAAUAUGGUGAUACUAGGAACAUCAUGAGAAAUUGUCCUAGACUUGGUAGAAAUCUGUUCCAUCAGAGCACACGUGCCAUGUACUCCAUUACAAUUACUACUUCACUUACACUACUAAUUAGGGGUGGAGGAAAAGCGGGUAGAUGGCGCCUAAGAGGUGGAGGCCCGACCCAUUGAUAUAUUUGCUAUGGUAUAGCUAAGGUCGCUACACUAGAUGAAGUCGUUACAAGUACAAACUCGAGUUAUCAUAAAGGAACAAUUUCCUUAACUUGAUUCGGUUAUAAGUAUCGAGGCAAGUCCUCCUAAUAUGCACCGCUAAUGAGUGAGCUUCGUAAUCCUAAAAUUUACGUAUGUGAAUACUUCUGUUAGGAGAUUAUAUGGAGAUAGCUAUGUCUAUCGUUAUGUGUUGGUCACUAAAAAUAGUUGUGAGCCCAAAAGUGACUUUUGUUAAUCAUUUUGGUGAGUUUGAUGUAUUUUCUAAAUAAUUAAUUUAAAUUGUGAAUUAUAUGCCCUACCGGUAUGAGGGUUCANNNNNNNNNNNNNNNNNNNNNNNNNCAGAGUUGAGGGCGAGAUCCUCAACAUUUUUAUAUGAUAUGAAAUAUUUAAACCGGGAUACAAGCUGCAGUGGAUGUUAUAUAAGGACGAGGUUCUUGUGGUGAAAAAAAUCAUGUGUUUAAAUUCUUCCUUUUUGAAAUUUAAAAAAAAUUGUACUAUAGUACUUAUAGGGAGUCAUGCCUAUGAGGCUUAUUUGAAAAUUCUCGUAUGAAUAUCCCUGUGCAUAAUUUGCCAAAUUUGUAUUAUAACUAUUGAGUUUAGCCUACAAGGUGAGUGCCCAGGUGGCGUUAAUUGUGAAUCGUUAAUUUGGGUAUGUAAUUAUGAGGUCUUCAUGCUACGUUGUUAGUAAAGUGAAAGCUUGAAACAAGAAUUUGUUAACGUGAAGUUAAUUGGCGAUUUUGUAAUCGAUGAUGAACAACGAUUAAGACCAGAGAUGUGGUUAUGGACAUAUAUGUGAUCUGUUUCAUGUCCAGAUGUCAUUAUGAUAAAACAAUGCUUGUAAUGCGGAGAAUAGUAAUUUUGAUAUAUACAUUGUGGUGUUUUGUUGGGCUGUGGAUGUGUUGUUAUGAGUGGUUUUGGUGUUACUCUGACAGGUGGAUAGUCCCAAUUACAGGGGAGACUCUGCCGAAAUUUUUGAAAAAUUUUGGGAGUUAGAAAAAUUUAGGAUAUUGAGUUGUGCAAAGAAAGAGAUACGUUACAUUAUGUGUUUGAGGACGGACUCUACUUAUUAUUUGAGGACAAAUGACCCUAAGUGGGGGAUAAUGUAACACUCUGGAUUUGAGGGGUGCAAAGGCACGAGUUGCUAUAUCCAAUCGAGAUUAAUAUCAUGUGUUCGAUGUGAAGAGCGGACCUUUAUGGUAAUGACUGGAGUGUAAGAAAUUUGGUCUUAAAGUUUACAAAUAUGGAUAAAGGAAAUAAUCUCAAUUGAAAUGGUAUUGUCAGACCUAUUUCGAAUGCGGUAAUAUGGGAUCAACCACGAGUAUAUGUGUGAAAGUAGAAACAUCAAAUUCGAAACCUCAGAAUAAUCUUAGUACGUUCGAGGACGAACGUUUGUUUAAGAGGUGGAGAAUGUAACGACCCGACCAGUCAUUUUAAAUAAGUACAACCUUGUUUCCCCCUAUAAUGCUAAAUUCAUGCUUCACGGUUCUUAUGUAACUUUCCGGGGAAAUUAGGUUCAGGUUCGGAAAGGUUUUGAAAGGAAUUGAGAAACUUAGUCUCCAAGAAGAGAGCUUAAGUUGAAAUAAAUUGACCGGAAGUUGAAAUAUGAGUAAACGAAUCCGGAAUGGAUUUUGGAUGAUUCCAAUAGCUCCGUAUGGUAAUUUUGGAUUUAGGAGCAUGCCCGGAAUUUUUUUUGGAAGUUUGUAGUUUAAUUAGGCUUGAAAUGGCGAAAAUGAGAAGUCGAAGUUUGGAAAUUUGACCGAGGAGUUGACUUUUGAUAUCGAGAUCAAAAUCCAACUCAAGAAGUUGGAAUAGCGCCAUUAUGUCAUUUUCUAAGUUCUUAAGCUUGAAUCCGAAGUUGAUUUGGUGUUUUGAUGUUGUUUGGAGUGAUUCUGAAGCUCGACUAAGUGUUAAUGAUGUUAUAGGAGGUGUUGGUAUGUUUAGGUUGAGGUCUAAGGGCGUCAGGUGUGUUUCGGGUGAGUUUUGAGCGAGUACGGACAUUCUGGAACUUAGAAAAUGGAUGGGGGCAGAAGUUGUAGUGCUGGGCGCGGAAAUGGUCCGCGGUCAUGAGGAUCCGCAGGUCGUCGGUCCAACUUCGGAAGCUCAUAUAUUUUGAUCUACAAGGAAUUUGGAGAUGAUUCAAAACUCGUAAGUUGUAGAUCCUUGCAUCUAGUUUUCAGAAACAUAUUAUAAUAGGCAUUGGGACAUCAGUAGCAAAUGUUAUGGCAAAAAUACUAAAGCCUAUCACUGCAGAGGAAAACCUGUGCAGUCGCGGUCAUUUUUGUGCGGACCGCACUGGUUUUGUGCGGACCGCAGUCAAUUUUGUGUGGUUCGCAGAGGUGAAAUCCGUGGGGGGGGGGGGUGGUUGGGUUUUAUUUGAUAUACUGACCUAGAGAGCUCGGAUUUUGGUGAUUUUCGAAGGUUUUUUCAAGAAAUUCAUCUGGGUAAGUGAUUCUAACUCGGAUUUGACUAGAAUACAUGAAUCUAUCAUUGAAUUCCUCAUUUGAUUCGUGAUUUGAGGUGAAAAUUUGGAGAAAAAUUAUAGAAACUUCUAAAAUGAAUUUUUUAAAUCCGAAGAACAAUCCGAUGUCGGAUUUUGAAAAAUUUGGUAUGGUUGAACUCGUAUUAGAAUGGGUGUCCGGAUUUCAUGAAAAUCAAGUUGGGUUCCAAGAGGCGAGUCCCGCGUUGACUUUUGGUUGACUUUUUAAUGUGAAUUUUUAAGUCAAUAUUUAUUAUCCGGAAUUGUUCCCGAUGUAUUUUAAUGAAUUUAUACAAUUAAUUUGGAUAGAUUUGAAUUUCUCGGAGGUCAAUUCAAGUAAGAAGACUAUUUUGGAAUAUCGGCCUAACUUCAAAAAGGUAAGUGUUUGGUCUAACCUUAGCUUGAGGGAUUAGGAGUUGUGUCAUAUUUGCUAUGUGUUAUUUGUUGAGUACGGCGUAUAGGCAUGAUGACGAGUAUCUAUACGUUGGUGUCAAACAUGCCCAUGAGUCUUGUGUUAUAAAUUUUUACGACUCUGUUGUGGUUUAUUGUGCCUCACAUAUUAUUAUCAUCAUUUUUCUCUUGCCGGGAUGUUUUUUUUGAUAUUAUUGUUCCCUUGCCGCGAUAUUGUGGAGAUAUCAUUGUUCCCUUGCCGGGAUGUUUGUUGAUAUUAUUGUUCCCUUGCCGGGAUAUUGUUGAGAUAUCAUUGUUCCCUUGUCGGGAUGUUUGUUUUGAUAUUAAUGUUCCCUUGCCGGGAUGUUUGUUUAUUGUUCUUGUUCCCGUGCCGGGAUUCUUUAUGAUUAUUGUUGGUUUGUAAAUGGAAACGGGUGGUAUGCCUACCACAAGAUAUAAUGAAAUGGGAGCGGGUGGUACGCCUACCACAAGAUAUAAUGAAAUGGGAAUGGGUGGUACGCAUACCAUAAGAGAUAGAUGAAAUGGGAGCGGGUGGUAUGCCUACCACAAGAUAUAAUGAAAUGGAAUCGGGUUGCAUGCCUGUAACAAGAUGUGAUCUAAAAGUGAAAUCUGCCUUUGUUUUCCUUAUUCUUGUUAGUGGUUGGAUUUGAAUUCCUUUACUGUUGUGAUUCUUCGUGUUAGAACCUAUAGUGUUUGCAAUAUCUCACCGCAUUUAUACAUAUAUAUACAUUCCAAUACUUCAAACUUCAAUAAUUGCACAUCCUUAAUUCAAUUAUUUUCUUAAUUAUAUCCUCUUAAACCGUUUGAGGUUGUACUUUACUUAAAAGGAAUUUCUACUAUGCUUUGAUUUAUUGAUUUCUCGUAUUAAAGGUAAUAAUUCAUUUGAUAUUGUACUUUAAUUGAAAAGGGUAUUUUCUUUAUCAAAUGAUUUCUAAAAAUCACUUCAUCUCUUCUUGUUAAUUUCCUAUUUGGGUUGGGAGCUGUACUCUACUUUAUGUUAAAUGAAUGAGGCUCCUUGAACAUUCUUAAUUGUAUUGGGUUGUGGAACCUUUGAACUGAGUAAUAUGAGGAUAUUGUUGUGCAAUAUGAGGAAAUAUAUGGGCACGAGGUGUCAUGAAAAUAUGAAAGUGGGUUGAGACCUAAAUUAAUUAUGAUUAUGAAAUGAGGCGUCAUAAGGUGACCUUUACUCGAAAGAAUUAUAUUCGAAAGAUGCUACUUGUAAGAUACUUAUUUGAAGGAAAUAUAUUUAUUGAAAAACAUAUUAUCUUAGAGAUUAUUACUUGAAGGAUAUAUAGGCGAAAGAUUUAUAUUUGAACGACUCGAUUAAUGAAUUGGACUUAUACUUAUUAUUUGUUGAGAAGCAUUUAUAGUGUUUUUUGUUGCAUGCUAUUUAUAUCAUUGAUUGAUCAUUGUUGCCAUCAUUGUUAUCUGCUUCCAAUUAUUUUGUACGCUAUAUUGUACAGGUUCAUUUGGUAGUCUGGUCCUAGCCUCAUCACUACUUCGCCGAGGUUAGGCUAGGCACUUACCAGCACAUGGGGUCAGUUGUGCUGAUACUGCACUUCUGUACAUUUUUGUAUACAGAUCCAGGUAUUUGAUCGAUAGUAGCUGUUCGUUGAGGUGGAGACUCAAGGUAAACCUGCUGCAGCGUUCGCAGUCCUCUGAUUCACCUUCAAUUGUACUUAUUUCCAUAUGUUCCCUCAUUUCGGAACAGUGAUGUAUUUAUUUUAUUUAACUACUCCUACAAAGGCUUAUGACUUGUACUACCUAUUUUUGGAAUUGUAAAUUGUUUAGAGAAAUUUCAUUUGAAGUUAAUAAAUAUCAAUGUUAUUUCCGUAAAUGUUAGGCUUACAUAGUUUAGAGACUAGGUGCCAUCACGACUCAUUCAGAGGGAUUUUUGGGUCAUGACACCUUGGGCCUGAUAAAGUGUGAAUCCAAAUGAACUCUGGCCUAAGACGCGUAUUAGUAGUCAUUAGAGUAACUAAAUGAAUUCAAUCACAGAUGAUUUGGGUCUGGUGAUGACUGAGUCCAAAUGACUCUGGCCCAAUGCACAUUUAAUUUGGACGAAUUUGAUAUUGAAAUUUCAUGGUUUAUUUCUGUAAUGCCAAUUAUAGAAUCUGACCUAUAUCUCAUUUAUGUUUGAAAAUAUGAUGCUAAGAGAUAUGGAAAAUAAACAACACAAGUCAUUUAUUCAAAAUCAGUCCCAAUUCGAUAAAUUUUACAGAUUUCCUAAAUAUUUUUUUCUUAUGUUAACACCAUGUUAAAGUGAUAAGUUUAAAAAUCAUAUUGUGUAUCUAAAAAUUUAGAGAAUAAAUAUCUUUAACCAAACUAUCAACUCAAUUCAUUAGCAGAAAAUCUAAUAAUACAAUUCCAUGGACCCAAUUGGUUUGGGCCUCAAAAUGUACCAAGUCUACUGUUCAGUUUGCUCAGAAAACUCAGUUUUUCAUAAUUUAAAUUUUUUAAAAAACUACCAAAUUGGAAUUACUAUAUUUAAUUGCUUUAAACAACACAUUAAAGUUACUAACAUAUUAAAUUAGCACGUUAUAUAAGAGAAAAUAUAGAAAGAACUAAAUUAUUACAACUUAUUAACUAAAUAAUGAGUUUAAUUCCUUAUACAUGUUGAUGAUAAAUCUACAUAUUACUACUCUUAAUAAAUUUCUUUCAAAAUGCUGUUUUUUUACUUCUACUUUCGUAGACAAAUACAUGGAUCUUCAGGAUAUAAUCUUUCUACCAUGAACAAAUCCAUGAAGCUCAAAAAGAUUUUGAGCAGCCUUCAAAAAUCUUUAAACAUAAAAUUAACAAAAAACUAAGUAGAGAAACUUGGAUAAAUGACCCACUUUAUACAGAUUUGCAAAUAACUUCAGCUAAAUAAAUUUUAAUCAAUAUCGGUCAUGCAAUAACUUAACUCACAUCCAAAACUACAUUUAAACAUACAAAACUUGACAAACACCAAAUAAUAGUCAUGAUACUGAAAUUUGACAGAAUAACAAAAUCUUUAAAUAAAACUGAAAUUUACAUUAUCAGGAUUAGUACCUCAGUAGCAGCAAGAAACCAAAAUAAGAUAGAAAAUAAGUCUCUGAAAAAUCUGAGCAAAAGCAGCAACAAGAAAUACCAAAUAGGAAAACCAAAACAGCUUCAAAUUCGAACUCAGAAAUCCCAGCAGGGGUUCUUUUCUGAAAGUGAAGGAAAGAGACUCAAAAGCAAUGCUGAAUCAGUGUAUUUUUUAGGGAAUUUUUCUGUGUGUUUUUUCUAAUGUGUGUAGGUCUAGCUCUGUA